rnacentral:rRNA from 1 species
CGCCUCUUGACCAAUUAUAAGAGGUCCAGCCUGCCCAGUGACAUAGUUAAACGGCCGCGGUAUCCUGACCGUGCGAAGGUAGCAUAAUCACUUGUUCUUUAAAUCAGGACUAGUAUCAACGGCAUCACGAGGGUUAUACUGUCUCCUCUCUCCAAUCAGUGAAACUGAUCUCCCCGUGAAGAAGCGGGGAUAAACCUAUAAGACGAGAAGACCCCAUGGAGCUUUAAACUCAACAACAACCUCCCCCACAAAACUCCACAUAUCCCGGAGGGCCUGUCUGUUAGUUUUAGGUUGGGGUGACCGCGGAGAAAAACUAAACCUCCACGAUGAACGGAAUUAACUCCUAAUCUAAGAGCCACCACUCUAAGAAUCAAUAAAUUGACAUAAAAUGAUCCGAUAAUCGAUCAACGAACCAAGUUACCCUGGGGAUAACAGCGCAAUCCAUUUCAAGAGCCCCUAUCGACAAAUGGGUUUACGACCUCGAUGUUGGAUCAGGGUAUCCCAGUGGUGCAGCCGCUACUAAAGGUUUGUUUGUUCAACAAUUAAAACCCUACGU